UGGGGAAUAUUGGACAAUGGGCGCAAGCCUGAUCCAGCCAUGCCGCGUGAGUGAUGAAGGCCCUAGGGUUGUAAAGCUCUUUCACCGGUGAAGAUAAUGACGGUAACCGGAGAAGAAGCCCCGGCUAACUUCGUGCCAGCAGCCGCGGUAAUACGAAGGGGGCUAGCGUUGUUCGGAUUUACUGGGCGUAAAGCGCACGUAGGCGGACUUUUAAGUCAGGGGUGAAAUCCCGGGGCUCAACCCCGGAACUGCCUUUGAUACUGGAAGUCUUGAGUAUGGUAGAGGUGAGUGGAAUUCCGAGUGUAGAGGUGAAAUUCGUAGAUAUUCGGAGGAACACCAGUGGCGAAGGCGGCUCACUGGACUUUUACUGACGCUCAGGUACGAAAGCGUGGGGAGCAAACAGG
rnacentral:rRNA from 1 species